rnacentral:lncRNA from 1 species
CCCGCCGAGUCGCAGCCGCACGUGGACGGGAGCUCGACACCGCACGCCGCCGCCGCCCCGCGGAGGAGGAGGAGGCCACGGUGGCCGGCUGUGCCGGCGGGAGAGGGGGAAGAGGAGGCCGGCGAGCCGGUUGCCGCCGAGUCGCAGCUGCCCCACCACCCUUCCCCGCUCAAGCUCGUCGGAACCGUCGCCGUGUGCCCGUUUGCCCAGUGCCCUGUCCCUCUUGUUGAGGUGGCGAGACACGGAGGAUUCCAUGGGAAUCAUCGUGGAACAUGCCGAUCAAAGGCCUGCCAAGAUACAACAAAAAGAAAAACCGCCACCCUCGCCGCACUUCCUUCCCUCAGGAGAGAAGAUUUUCACGUCGUUGCUCUGUCCAUGGCCGCAUCGAUGCCAGCGGCGACAACGUCGUCGCUACGGAUUGUGGUCGUCUUCUCCAAUGUCACCGUGGACGAAACCAUCUUGGGCGCUGAAAGGAGAGGGAACCCCGCCGCUGCCGCGGAGGAGGAGGAUUAG